rnacentral:rRNA from 1 species
UAAUACGAAUGUGGCAAGCGUUGUUCGGAAUCACUGGGCGUAAAGAAUGCGUAGGCGGCUUGACAAGUCAGGAGUGAAAUCCCAGGGCUCAACCCUGGAACUGCUCUUGAAACUGUCGAGCUAGUGUCCCGGAGGGGUUGACGGAAUUCCGAGUGUAGAGGUGAAAUUCGCAGAUAUUCGGAGGAACACCAGUGGCGUAAGCGGUCAACUGGACGGGUACAGACGCUGAGGCAUGAAAGUGUGGGGAGCAAACAGG